rnacentral:ribozyme from 1 species
AAAUAUAAUAAAAAAAGAAAAUAGGCUGGUCACCGGCGUAUGCGUGGGAUUCUUAUUUCGUAUUUCAUAUUUCUUAUUCUUAUUCUUGUUU